rnacentral:rRNA from 1 species
GAUGAACGCUGGCGGCGUGCUUAACACAUGCAAGUCGAACGGUGAACGAGGGAGCUUGCUCCCUCCGGAUCAGUGGCGAACGGGUGAGUAACACGUGAGCAAUCUGCCCUGGACUCUGGGAUAAGCGUUGGAAACGACGUCUAAUACCGGAUACGAGUCGUGGGGGCAUCCCCAACGCCUGGAAAGAACUUCGGUCCAGGAUGAGCUCGCGGCCUAUCAACUAGUUGGUGAGGUACCGGCGCACCAAGGCGACGACGGGUAGCCGGCCUGAGAGGGUGACCGGCCACAAUGGGGCUGAGACACGGCCCAGACUCCUACGGGAGGCAGGAGUGGGGAAUAUUGCACAAUGGGCGCAAGCCUGAUUCAGCAACGCCUCGUGAGGGACGACGGCCUUCGGGUUGUAAACCUCUUUUAGCAGGGAAGAAGCGAAAGUGACGGUACCUGCAGAAAAAGCACCGGCUAACUACGUGCCAGCCGCCGCAGUAACAC